CGGUGUUUAACUGGCGUGAUGUGGGACGUCCUACCGGUGGGCUUAGCCUCGCGAGGGGCGGCCCAACUAAUAUCCCGUCGCGGUGCUCUUUACUGAGUGUCGAGUCGGGCCGGUACGUUUACUUUGAACAAAUUAGAGUGCUUAAAGCAGGCUAUCCUCGCCUGAAUACUGCGUGCAUGGAAUAAUGGAAUAGGACCUCGGUUCUAUUUUGUUGGUUUUCGGAACCCCGAGGUAAUGAUUAAUAGGGACAGAUGGGGGCAUUCGUAUUGCGACGUUAGAGGUGAAAUUCUUGGAUCGUCGCAAGACGGACAGAAGCGAAAGCAUUUGCCAAAAAUGUUUUCAUUAAUCAAGAACGAAAGUUAGAGGUUCGAAGGCGAUCAGAUACCGCCCUAGUUCUAACCAUAAACGAUGCCAGCUAGCGAUCCGCCGAAGUUCCUCCGAUGACUCGGCGGGCAGCUUCCGGGAAACCAAAGCUUUUGGGUUCCGGGGGAAGUAUGGUUGCAAAGCUGAAACUUAAAGGAAUUGACGGAAGGGCACCACCAGGAGUGGAGCCUGCGGCUUAAUUUGACUCAACACGGGAAACCUCACCAGGCCCAGACACCGGAAGGAUUGACGGAUUGAUAGCUCUUUCUUGAUUCGGUGGGUGGUGGUGCAUGGCCGUUCUUAGUUGGUGGAGCGAUUUGUCUGGUUAAUUCCGAUAACGAACGAGACUCUAGCCUGCUAAAUAGGCGUACCUUAUGGUAUCGCGAAGGCCCCCGGCUUCGGCCGGUGGGUUUUUACUACCAACGUACAAACAAAUCUUCUUAGAGGGACAGGCGG
rnacentral:rRNA from 1 species